CUCAGUGAGUGGAAGUGAGACUACCGGUACCGUAUUAUUUAAUAUUCUCAAAAAACUCCAUAAACAAAUUAUUCCUGAGCGUAAAUCCACAAGUUAAUGGGGUAUUUUUAAACGUGGAACUUCUACACUGUAUAAGGCAAUCAUAUUUAGACCAUGAUCCAGUAUAAAUUAGCUGUAAUUCUCAUAUCUACACUGUGUUUCCAAACAGCGAUUGGUGGAGUCACAAAUAUCAACAAUUGGAAUGAUUUCCAGAAUGUUUUGAAAGCUCAUUCAAAACCGAAUGAUGGUGUCGUGUUAUUGCUUUGCAAAACAGAUUGCAACUAUUGUCCUGCAGCUGAGAAAUGAUUGAAGACAAACUGUGAUAAAAAUCCAGCUUUACAGUGUGUCCAAGUUAUCAAAACAGAUGUUUUCUCGCCUACAGACCCUUUCAUAACAACUUACAAUGUACAAGACGUACCGUACAUGGUAUUCUUCAGUGGUGGAAAAAAGGUUGAUGCCGUUCAGGACUAUUUUGAAGAUAAAAUGUCUGCUGGAUUUGCCAAGUUGCCUAGGAAAAGGAAAUGAUUUCUUUAAUAUUUAUAUAUAAUAAUAAGAUUUUA